rnacentral:rRNA from 1 species
UACGUAGGGCGCAAGCGUUGUCCGGAAUUAUUGGGCGUAAAGAGCUCGUAGGCGGCCUGUUACGUCUGCUGUGAAAUCCCGGGGCUUAACCCCGGGCGUGCAGUGGAUACGGGCAGGCUGGAGGCAGGCAGGGGAGAACGGAAUUCCCGGUGUAGCGGUGAAAUGCGCAGAUAUCGGGAGGAACACCGGUGGCGAAGGCGGUUCUCUGGGCCUGUACUGACGCUCGGGUGCGAAAGCCAGGGGAGCGAACGGG